CCAUGCUUUGCUUCAACAUAUUUCCCCUCCUCCACACCACUAAACCAUGGGUGAUGGUUCGAAAUACCUCCACACUCGUUAUAAUCAAUUGGUACAUCAUAGUUUUUGCAACAGGACUGAACUUGUAAAUUAAGAAUGAACCCCAACAAAAAGACAAAAAUUACAACUCUUCUCUACCAACAUUAACAGAAUUACAUCCGUACUACAUCUAAAAAUUAUCAGGAUGUUUCAAUCUGUGGUGUGAAAAUGGUUCUAAACAUUUUUCACAAUGACUAAGAGAAGAAAAUAUGCAGGAGCUCCAAAAGCAUCAGAAUUCCUUACCAGGACUGAACUUUGUAGAUCCAAAAGCAAAUGCAAAGGGCAAAACUCCCAUCUCAUGGCACUCUACUUGUCUGGAUGCCCCCGUUUAGCCUUACGACGAGAGUGGCUUGUGUUGGCAUUUCGAUUAGGUCUCUUUGCCUUUUUGCAGAAAAUAGCUGAACAAAUUCUGGACAAAAUGAUGAUGGGUAAGGCCAACAAGGCAGAGGCCGUAAACCAGAUCAACUCCUUAGUCGCAAGAGGUGUAGUCAGCUCAUGCUUAUUCAGUGUUUCUUGUACAGUGCCUUGCACCUGAUGAUGGUAUGUAGUUGCAGACUCCAAAAAUUUCCCGUAAGCGUGAACUGCCUGCUUCGUGUAGAGCUUCAAAACCACCCUAACCUUGUCAACAUGGGGUUUUGUCAUAGUGGCCACUUGAUCAACAUAAGGCUUACUGAACUUCUUAGCUUCCUGAAAGUAUGGAUCAACAAAUUCUUGCACUCUAAUGAUGUGUGGGGUUAUUGCAGUCUUUGAGGCUUCAUAAGCUUCAAUGAUUUUUGCAGUAACUGAUUGCACAUGUGGUUCAACAUGAGCUGUUAUCAGCAACCAUUGCUCCUUCACAGCUGGGAUCCAUUUAGUUUUAAUUGUUUCCAUGUGGGGUUUGGCCCAUUUUUCAACAUCAGCUUUUUUCUCCAGGGCCUUUUGAAUUACCAAUUCCAUGGCGGGCUUUCCAUGUUCAUUCCAAUGUGUCUGGACCAAAGACUGACAAUGGACUAAUUGUACAGCAAGCCAAGGCGGAAGCCAUGCACCAUGAACCUCACUUAACUGCUGGGUUUUUGAAGAAGCUUCAAACUUUGCCUUCAUCAUUUCUUCCUCAGCAACUUUAAGAGCACGCUCUGUCUUGCGGAGUUUGCUCUUCUGUUCAUCAAUAACCUUUUGAAGAUUCUCUAGUUUCAAGUUUAAUUCACCUAUCUUCUUUUCAGCUUCAUCGGCUUUUGCUUCCAAAGCAUCUUUCUGCCUCUGUUGUGUUUCCAAUUCCUUUUUAAGUUUGUC
rnacentral:misc_RNA from 1 species